CGACGACGCUCCAUUCACUGUAGCCGACUGCAAUACAAGCAGCAGCAGCACUAGUAGCCGCAACAGCGAUGAGUCAACGCCAAGAAAAAACAAGGCGCCCAAGGAGCAACCUCCAACCAAUGUCAAAGCCGGUGUGAGCAAACCUGUAUUUGGCUAGGGAUCCAUGCAUUUUUGUUCCCCAUGAACAAAAAUUAUCAUCAUGAAUGGCUCCUCCCGCC